GAACCUGCGGAAGGAUCAUUGUCGUGACCCGUAACCAAAAUAGACCGAGCACGCGUCAUCUAUCCUGCCGGUGACGGCAUUGUUCGUCGCUCGGCAAAUUCCUCGAACACCUCCUCUCCUCGGAGUGGGGGAUCGGGGUAAAAGAACCCACGGCGCCAAAGGCGUCAAGGAACACUGUGCCAAGCUGGGGACGCGGCUGGCUUGCUGGCUGCCUCCCCGUGCUGCAAUGCUAUUUAAUCGACAUGACUCUCGGCAACGGAUAUCUCGGCUCUCGCAUCGAUGAAGAACGUAGCGAAAUGCGAUACCUGGUGUGAAUUGCAGAAUCCCGCGAACCAUCGAGUCUUUGAACGCAAGUUGCGCCCGAGGCCUUUCGGCUGAGGGCACGCCUGCCUGGGCGUCACGCAAAACACGCUUCCACACCCCCUCAUUUGGGAAUGGGAUGCGGAAUUUGGCCCCCCGUCACGCAAGGGGCGGUGGGCCGAAGAUAUGGCUGCCGGCGUAUCGUGUCGGACACAGCGCGUGGUGGGCGUCCUCGCUUUACUUACCGCAGUUCAUCCGGCAUGUAGCUGGUGUGAUGGCCAGAAAGGACCCUUUUGAACGGUGCGUACAAUGCUCCGACCGCGACCCCAGGUCAGGCGGGACUACCCGCUGAAUUUAAGCAU
rnacentral:rRNA from 1 species